UGAGAAUUUCUCUGUACUUCCUUCAUUCGAACCCGAACUCAGAAGUAGGGGGACUGGUGUUGGGUAUAAAAUAUCCCUCGAUCGAAGUUUGUAAAAAAUCGACCCUUCCAGGGCUCUUCCGGCUUCCGACCUUGUGUGUGGCAUCUCUCCAAACCCCGUCGAUCGUCUAGACUUCUCCGAUAGUGAACUUCUGCAUUCGUCUACCGGGCUGCCCCAAAAGCUCUCUGGGCCUCACCACCAGUCGACCUUCUACAGUGAUCAACUAUUCUCCAAACUUCUUUCGGACUCCGUCAAUAUCUGAGCUUCUUUGACAAUGAGGUUUCUACAGAAAUCAAACUCCAUCUGAGUUUCUACGGCGGUCGAUCACCUUCAAGAUUCUAAUCAGGCUCUUGUGAGAGCCGAAC
rnacentral:lncRNA from 1 species